UUAUGGUUCAUAAACGUCAAUAAAAAUUGUUUUGAAAAGUAUAAAGAUCAAGGAAGAAGAGAAAAAUUGAUAAAUAAAAACUAGAUGAAUCCUUUUGGAAAUUGCUCACUACUUCACGAACAUUUAUCAACCUAGUUAUUUCCUCUGUGUGUUUGUGUUACCCCCAUUAGAGUGUCAUUUGACCAAUGUUGCAGGUUUAGAAUGGUGGAAAGAAAGUUUCAGUUUGUUAUGGAAUAUACAAGUAAUAUCGAAUCUAUAAAUUAGGCAGCCUGAAGAUUUAGGAUUUUGAGUAGGUAGUCAUAUGGAACCUUAUUAGAAGUCUUCUAGCAUGUAUUUAUAGGGUUGUGUAUUCCCCUUUCUAACACAGAUUUAUAAACCUUAUAUUCACUUUCGUACAAUAUAUAUUUUCUCAUUCCUUGAUUCUUCAUCUCUGUUUCCGCCUUAGUGGCGAGUGGUUGUUAUUCUCCACCCGCCAGCCAUUUGGAUCAUUCAAAUACAACACAGUUACCCAUGGAUGUGCAUCAAAGGCAAGUGAGUCACAAAGGCAAGUGGUAAAAAGGUUAGUACAAAUAAUUAAGAAUUGCAUACUAGAAUUUGACAAAUUUAUACAAAUUCCUUAAACUGGAUAGAGAACAAUGAUAGUGUUUUGACAGACAGCCAGAUAACGUCCAUGAUGUUGUGGUGCUGAAAGCCUAAGAGCUUGGUUUGGAUGUUGUUUUGUCAUUUCUUGGAGACUUAUUGGAAAUCAUUAGCAAUUUUGGAUAAGAACUCACUUAAUCUCAAGUAUAGGUUUCUCUUUUUACUUUCUUUUUUUUUUU